rnacentral:tRNA from 1 species
GUAGCAAAGGGAUUGAAGUGGUUAGAGCAUCUGACUCAUAAUCAGAGGGUCCUUGGUUCGAGCCCAAGUGGGACCA